rnacentral:rRNA from 1 species
GCCAGACUCCUACGGGAGGCAGCAGUGAGGAAUAUUGGUCAAUGGACGCAAGUCUGAACCAGCCAUGCCGCGUGCAGGAUGACGGCUCUAUGAGUUGUAAACUGCUUUUGUACGAGGGUAAACCCCGAUACGUGUAUCGGGUUGAAAGUAUCGUACGAAUAAGGAUCGGCUAACUCCGUGCCAGCAGCCGCGGUAAUACGGAGGAUCCGAGCGUUAUCCGGAUUUAUUGGGUUUAAAGGGUGCGUAGGCGGUUUGAUAAGUUAGAGGUGAAAUGUCGGGGCUCAACCCCGUCGUGCCGUUGAAACUGAUGUUCUUGAGUGGGCGAGAAGUAUGCGGAAUGCGUGGUGUAGCGGUGAAAUGCAUAGAUAUCACGCAGAACUCCGAUUGCGAAGGCAGCAUACCGGCUCCACACUGACGCUGAGGCACGAAAGCGUGGGUAUCGAACAGGAUUAGAUACCCGUGUA